GAAUCGAUUUAGCUUCUAUACAACAAACAAACUGGAUUCACAACAUCCCCUAGAAGCUCCUUCUCCUUCUGAGUUUUCAACGAAUUAUUCCCAGGUGAGUUUUCCAUCUAUGUCUCUCUCUCUCUCUCGUACGUCUAUGUUACUUUUUUUGUAGCUAAUAACGAUGGGGAUUGUUCUCUGUGUAAUUGAGAGUAACGAUAAAUGCUUCUUUUGUUCAUCAUUAAGCAAGAUUACUUUAUAUACAAAAUAAAAAUUGAAAUGUUUUAUAUAUAUGUUUUUUCUUUUUCUCGGAGGUAAGGUGCAAGUCACACGUUUGUAUUGCAGACCACAACAACUCUUUUUUACAAAAAGUCAAAAACAAUAAAAAAUUCUCUUCUUCCGGCGUUUCUUUUUUUUUUUUUGGUUUUAGAGACAGAUGAUUACAACAUCUACUACUACAAGGAGCUUCGAUGAUGCCUUUUUGAAGCUCAUCGAGUUCCAAAUUAGUCUUAGUUUGUUUCUUUUGUGUUUGAAGUUAGUCUUAGUUUAUUUAUUUUGAGCGUGAACUGAAAUCAGUCUUCGUUGUUUAUUUAAUGGAAUCAUGUGUUUAGAUUCUUAGUUUUAUAGCUUUUGGUAACUAGUUUGAAGUGUGUGUUUUAUAGCGUUUAGAUUCUUUGAAUUCAGUGUAAAUAUUGAAGUGUGUGUUUUUAUAUAAUGGAAUCAUGUUUUCUUAUAUAAUAGAAUUGUGUGUUCUUAGUAUUAAAGCGUGUGUUCUUAGUUGGAUUUAUAAAGUUCAUGUUAAAGCUUUGCGAUCCACAAAGCUACAAAGAAGCGUGUGUUCUUAUAUAAUAAUUUGAACCUACAAAAAAGUAUGUGUUCUUUAGAAGCGUCUGUUCUUAUAUAACUGAAGCGUGUGUUCUUUACAAGCGUGUGUAUUUAACAAUGGGUCCUUUCUCUGUUUCAGAUGGAUUCAUCAUCAUUUCCAAAUGGUGAGGGUCUCAACAACGAAGCAACAAAUGACUCAAGUGGAGCUACUUCUCAACCAAAAACAAAAAAGGAGCAAGGCGAGAGGGCUGAAGUAUGGGAG
rnacentral:lncRNA from 1 species